rnacentral:rRNA from 1 species
CAGCAGCCGCGGUAAUACGUAGGGUGCAAGCGUUAAUCGGAAUUACUGGGCGUAAAGCGUGCGCAGGCGGUUAUAUAAGACAGAUGUGAAAUCCCCGGGCUCAACCUGGGAACUGCAUUUGUGACUGUAUAGCUAGAGUACGGCAGAGGGGGAUGGAAUUCCGCGUGUAGCAGUGAAAUGCGUAGAUAUGCGGAGGAACACCGAUGGCGAAGGCAAUCCCCUGGGCAUGUACUGACGCUCAUGCACGAAAGCGUGGGGAGCAAACAGGAUUAGAUACCCCCGUAGUCCCUGUCUCUUAUAC